UACGUAGGGUGCAGGCGUUAAUCGGAAUUACUGGGCGUAAAGCGUGCGCAGGCGGUCUGUUAAGAGAGAUGUGAAAUCCCCGGGCUUAACCUGGGAACUGCGUUUCUAACUGGCAGGCUAGAGUGUGGCAGAGGGGGGUGGAAUUCCACGUGUAGCAGUGAAAUGCGUAGAGAUGCGGAGGAACACCGAUGGCGAAGGCAGCCCCCUGGGUUAACACUGACGCUCAGGCACGAAAGCGUGGGGAGCAAACAGG
rnacentral:rRNA from 1 species